rnacentral:rRNA from 1 species
GGUUAAGCGACUAAGCGUACACGGUGGAUGCCCUGGCAGUCAGAGGCGAUGAAGGGCGUGCUAAUCUGCGAUAAGCGCCGGUAAGGUGAUAUGAACCGUUAUAACCGGCGAUACCCGAAUGGGGAAACCCAGUGUGAUUCGUCACACUAUCAUUAACUGAAUCCAUAGGUUAAUGAGGCGAACCGGGGGAACUGAAACAUCUAAGUACCCCGAGGAAAAGAAAUCAACCGAGAUUCCCCCAGUAGCGGCGAGCGAACGGGGAGGAGCCCAGAGCCUGAAUCAGCAUGUGUGUUAGUGGAAGCGUCUGGAAAGGCGCGCGAUACAGGGUGACAGCCCCGUACACAAAAGCGUAUGUGCUGUGAGCUCGAUGAGUAGGGCGGGACACGUGGUAUCCUGUCUGAAUAUGGGGGGACCAUCCUCCAAGGCUAAAUACUCCUGACUGACCGAUAGUGAACCAGUACCGUGAGGGAAAGGCGAAAAGAACCCCGGCGAGGGGAGUGAAAAAGAACCUGAAACCGUGUACGUACAAGCAGUGGGAGCACCCUUUGGGGUGUGACUGCGUACCUUUUGUAUAAUGGGUCAGCGACUUAUAUUCUGUAGCAAGGUUAACCGAAUAGGGGAGCCGGAGGGAAACCGAGUCUUAAUUGGGCGUUAAGUUGCAGGGUAUAGACCCGAAACCCGGUGAUCUAGCCAUGGGCAGGUUGAAGGUUGGGUAACACUAACUGGAGGACCGAACCGACUAAUGUUGAAAAAUUAGCGGAUGACCUGUGGCUGGGGGUGAAAGGCCAAUCAAACCGGGAGAUAGCUGGUUCUCCCCGAAAGCUAUUUAGGUAGCGCCUCGUGAAUUCAUCUCCGGGGGUAGAGCACUGUUUCGGCUAGGGGGUCAUCCCGACUUACCAACCCGAUGCAAACUGCGAAUACCGGAGAAUGUUAUCACGGGAGACACACGGCGGGUGCUAACGUCCGUCGUGAAGAGGGAAACAACCCAGACCGCCAGCUAAGGUCCCAAAGUCAUGGUUAAGUGGGAAACGAUGUGGGAAGGCACAGACAGCCAGGAUGUUGGCUUAGAAGCAGCCAUCAUUUAAAGAAAGCGUAAUAGCUCACUGGUCGAGUCGGCCUGCGCGGAAGAUGUAACGGGGCUAAACCAUGCACCGAAGCUGCGGCAGCGACACUCAGGUGUUGUUGGGUAGGGGAGCGUUCUGUAAGCCUGUGAAGGUGGCCUGUGAGGGUUGCUGGAGGUAUCAGAAGUGCGAAUGCUGACAUAAGUAACGAUAAAGCGGGUGAAAAGCCCGCUCGCCGGAAGACCAAGGGUUCCUGUCCAACGUUAAUCGGGGCAGGGUGAGUCGACCCCUAAGGCGAGGCCGAAAGGCGUAGUCGAUGGGAAACGGGUUAAUAUUCCCGUACUUGGUGUUACUGCGAAGGGGGGACGGAGAAGGCUAUGUUGGCCGGGCGACGGUUGUCCCGGUUUAAGCGUGUAGGUGUGUGUUCCAGGUAAAUCCGGUUCACUUUAACACUGAGGCGUGAUGACGAGGCACUACGGUGCUGAAGCAACAAAUGCCCUGCUUCCAGGAAAAGCCUCUAAGCAUCAGGUAACAUCAAAUCGUACCCCAAACCGACACAGGUGGUCAGGUAGAGAAUACCAAGGCGCUUGAGAGAACUCGGGUGAAGGAACUAGGCAAAAUGGUGCCGUAACUUCGGGAGAAGGCACGCUGACACGUAGGUGAAGUGAUUUACUCAUGGAGCUGAAGUCAGUCGAAGAUACCAGCUGGCUGCAACUGUUUAUUAAAAACACAGCACUGUGCAAACACGAAAGUGGACGUAUACGGUGUGACGCCUGCCCGGUGCCGGAAGGUUAAUUGAUGGGGUCAGCGCAAGCGAAGCUCCUGAUCGAAGCCCCGGUAAACGGCGGCCGUAACUAUAACGGUCCUAAGGUAGCGAAAUUCCUUGUCGGGUAAGUUCCGACCUGCACGAAUGGCGUAAUGAUGGCCAGGCUGUCUCCACCCGAGACUCAGUGAAAUUGAACUCGCUGUGAAGAUGCAGUGUACCCGCGGCAAGACGGAAAGACCCCGUGAACCUUUACUAUAGCUUGACACUGAACAUUGAGCCUUGAUGUGUAG